GUUCUGAAUCAACUGAGAAAUAGUCACAAGAGACAGAUGGAGUUGAGUUUGGCCAGUGAGUGCUGCAGGAUACUGGAGGGAGGGCAACAGAGAGGAAGGUCACCUACAUGUCUAUGUUCAGAAGCUGCCUUGAUGCCACAUGCGGGAGGCUGGAAACGCUGAAGGAUGACCACUGCUCAGCAGCAGUCUACCAGUGAUGGAUGAGAGUUGGUGCACAAAUACCCCAGCUCCCUUGCCUCUCAGUUUGGAUAAUCCUGAAAAGGUGUGUACUAUGCUAUUUCUGAGAUUAAGCCCUAGUUACCCAUAGUGGUAGCUAAAUAUAGUAGUUGGCUGUAUUCUCCAUCACUUCUUGAAUCCCCUGCCAGUGUUCUCUGCACCUCCUUAAUAAACCACUUGAAACAAAAAUCAAGUCUUUCUUUCUCUCACGGUCUGCAUCUUGGGGAACACAAACUAAGACACAGUCUCAAAAAAGUUAACAUUUGUAAAACAUCUAGUUUAUUUUUUCAUCUUACCCUACAAGUAAUAAAAAAGACAAAAAAAACCAAAACAAAACACCUUUCAUGGGAGAGGGGACAUUCAACUAAGAUGCUUUGAGUUGCUUUUCCUGUUAACGUUAUGCCAAAUUUAGAAGAAAAGAAUGCCAGAAGAGGGCAGAGGAUAUGUAUUAUGUCUAUAUCUUCGAGACAUGAGGUCUUGCUAUGUUCCCCAGGCUAGAAUGCAGUGGCUAUUCAUAAGCAG
rnacentral:lncRNA from 10 species